UACGAAGGGGGCUAGCGUUGCUCGGAAUGACUGGGCGUAAAGGGCGCGUAGGCGGUUUGGACAGUCAGAUGUGAAAAUUCCUGGGCUCAACCUGGGGGGCUGCAUUUGAUACGUUCGGACUAGAGUGGGGAAGAGGGUCGUGGAAUUCCCAGUGUAGAGGUGAAAUUCGUAGAUAUUGGGAAGAACACCGGUGGCGAAGGCGGCGACCUGGUCCUUGACUGACGCUGAGGCGCGAAAGACGUGGGGAGCAAACAGG
rnacentral:rRNA from 1 species